rnacentral:rRNA from 1 species
UACGGGGGGGGGCAAGCGUUGUUCGGAAUUACUGGGCGUAAAGGGCUCGUAGGCGGCCAACUAAGUCGGACGUGAAAUCCCCAGGCUCAACCUGGGAACUGCGUCCGAUACUGGAUGGCUUGAAUUCGGGAGAGGGAUGCAGAAUUCCAGGUGUAGCGGUGAAAUGCGUAGAUAUCUGGAGGAAUACCGGUGGCGAAGGCGGCAUCCUGGACCGACAUUGACGCUGAGGAGCGAAAGCUAGGGGAGCAAACGGG